GUGCUCAGCGGGGCUCCAGAACUCCGGUGCCUCAUGAAAUGGACCGCUUCGACCCCCGCCCCGUUUCUCCUCACCUCCCCUUUCACUUCUUGAAUUUGUACAGCGGCUACUGAGGCACCUCGUCCUGCAAUCCAGGGCCCCACGGGCCUUCCGACCGACCUGCAAGCUCAAUCGACGUUGGCCCAACUUUCCUUUUGUCCACGUGGGAGCAGUAACAGGCUCCCCUUUUUCACCCAGCCUGGGAGUGUCAAUGGAGGCCUGGCCAUGGUCGGUGUAACCCUGAACCUCAACCCCACCUAGAACUGCCUUGAAGUCCCCUGCGCAGCAGCCACGAAGCUCCCAGCUGACGGCGUACAAUUCCCAACCCAUUUCUGCUGGCGGCACCGCAGGAUCUAAGGGAGGCAGCAUUGUCUCCUGGAAGUCUCCAAACGCAGGGUGCAGAAAGGUACAUCAAGAUGGCCACAUCUGUAUCAUUUUUUUUCUGGGACCACGACCAGCUCUAGCAUUUUGAUUAGCUGAUAGUUAAAUGACUUCAGUGAUAACUUGUAGUUGCCUGGCUAGCUCAGUUAAUAGAGCAUGAGACUCUUAAUCUCAGGGUUGUGGGUUUGAGGCCCCUGUUGGGUGCUCUUUUAACUUCAGACUUGCUGGUGGUAUAAGGAGACUGAUGGAAAGGAAGUAACUGACCAGUUCCUGUCAGCUGUACCCUAACAUCUCACCAUUAGCCCACCAAAGGUCCCCGUAAGCUGUUCCUGUCCUGCUUAAGAAACUUUAGAAACAAGUCUGAGAUUUAGAGCUAGAUGAUUUAUAGCAGAGCCAGGCUCUGCUACAACUGUGCAUCUGCAGAAGAGCCCUUGUGCAGUCUAGAAAGCAACUUUUGCUAGGACUUUCACUUUCAGAGAGAGGUGUUACUCCAGCAACUCCCUGGCCACAGGCACAGGUCAACAGCAGGAUGGAAUCCACCUGUUUGCUCUUUCCAGAAGGUGAAGGCAAAGCAGACCCCAACCACUCGCAACCAAAGGGAACCACUACCAAAAAGGAUCCCCUAAUGAAGGCUGGGCCUUUGUCACAUUGCUCACGGGAGCCAUCCUGUUUGUCCUUAAAAGGAGGACUUGUCAGCCAGGGAUUUAGCUCAGUGGUUCUGCCACCUGCUUCACAAGUACAAGGUCCUGAGUUCGAUCCCUGGUACCAAAAAAACCAAAAAAACAAAAAACUAGGGGUUGUCUAGGAUUUGAACUUGGGACAGGUUUCACCCUAAGUGAGAAUCACACCCCUAGAUCAACAGGCUAGUAACAGGCUCUUGUUACCCUAGGUAAGCUUACUCAGGCUGAUUUCCAAUUGUCAGUUUCUAUCAGCUGUCCCCUUUCUUGCUAUUGUCAGCCUAUAAUUCCCUGGAGCUCCCCAGCUUCUUUCACCUGCCCCUUCAGGCCCAAGGACUCUCCUCCAGGAAUGCAAACCUUACAUGGGAGCUUAGGUGCCACCCAGGAGGGCCCUGCAGAGGGUGGGGGGCUUAAGUGGAAGAAAUCGGGCAGCUCUUCAGAAGACAGCCUCUCCAUCCUCUUCAUACACCUGCAAACCUGGUUUCAGUGCCCAGGCCCAGUCUGGCCACUGAGGUCCAACUCAAAUCUGGUUCACCAUGUGCUGGUCCUAUCUCCCAUCUAUUCCCACAGGUCUGCUGGGGACUCCAUCCAUGCCAUCAAUUGACCAGAAAAGCAAAUGUAGCUCCUCUGGGCUUUGAAGCCAAAUAGAGUACAAGAUCUGGUUCCCAGGGACAUUCCUCCUCUGUGUAAUCUAUCCCUUAAACUAUCUGCUUUUCAUUCACUAGACAAAUGGUGGCUGAGUGUCGCUAGAGGCAGGGCCUGACUCUGUAGAGGGGACAGAACCCAGCAGCAACCUAAUGGAAGGGAUUAGGUCCUGCACGAAGGAGCGAUGCCACAGAUUUGGAAGUGGCACUCUUCAGCUAAUGGGACUGAUAAUGGUUUUGCCCUAAAGAGCAAGAGUCUUAAUAUGUUCAGGCUCGGGAAAAGGGAUUGGAGAGGAUCCUGGUUACUCAGGGACCAGUGAGGGCUCCUCGGGCAAUUUAGUGGGCCCAGGUUCUGAGCAAAUGACCUGACUGUGGUUAGGAGCCUGAGGGUCAGGAGCAUGAAAGGGACCCCCAGCACAUAAGACCCUGCGAUUAAGAAGAAAGAUUUGUGUACGGUAUGGUGGCACAUGCCUGUAAUCCCAGCAUUUGGGAGGCUGAGUCAGGAAGAUCUCUUUGAGUUCAAGGACAUCCUGGGUUACAUAGUGAGUUCAAGGCCAGACUGAACUACACAGCAAGACCCAGUGUGAGAAAGAAGGGAGAGAGAGCGAGAGAGAGCGCUAUGUGUUUAGGCCAGAGGCAAUGCCCACUGGUGAAGUGGGUACAUACUCUGGAGCUCUCACUCUGUGCUCAGCUCACCUGACAGGGACAGUAAUCUGCAGGUCUACUUGACUCUAGGACCCAGAUUGGGUCAUUCUUCCCAGCUUGAGAGGCCCCAAAGUUGCCAAAACCCUCAGUCCCUGACAUAAUUAACCAUCUCUUAUUUUUUGCAUUCUGAUGCUUUGACCUGGGGGCUUCAUUGGCUGUGAAGAGACCACACCUCCUAGGUGAGCCAGUUCCUAGAGAUAGCAAACAAUUCCUCCAGGACUGUACAUCUUCAAAUGCAAACUCACCAAACCAAAACCCACCCUCGCCUACCCCCAGUGACCCCCUUUAUGGGGUCCUCACCCAUUGGCUACUGUCCAUCUGCCCUAGUCACCGAGGGCCAGGUACUAGACAACUAGGGAGAGUUCCAUGCCCCAGAGAUACUGAAAUUACUCAAACCAGCCAAUCCAAACCUGCUUACUUCCUGGUUGGCUCCUUCCAGGAAAACCACUGUACAGGCUCCUGAUUAUCUCUCCUCCCAUCUGCUCACCCUCACUUUGUUUUGGAGCCUAUGGUGGUAUGCCCCCACCUCUUGAAAACUGGGAGCAACAAAAAAAAAUUUGUUUUUUCAACAGCAGUGUCUUCUCCUCUGCUGGCCUCACUGUACCAGGAUUAACAUAACCUAUUAAAGCGUUGCCUCUCUUCUAACGUGGAGAAUAGACCCAUGUCUGGAGCACAGCCGCCCCAUCCUCUGGCUCCUUUCCUCCUCUUUGUUGUGGAAGGCGCCUCUGACAGCCCCUCCAAAGAAAAAGGCACACCUGUGAUGCCAGUACUCUGGGGUUACGGGAGGAGGAUCACAAAUUGGAGCCCAGCCUGGAUUUAGAGACUUGGGAGACCCU
rnacentral:tRNA from 1 species